UGCAAGUCGCGGGANAAGCCUUCGGGUGAGUACACCGGCGCAAGGGUGAGUAAUGCGUAGUUAAUGCACCCAUCGGAUCAGGAUAAUUCCGGGAAACUGGUUGUAAUACUGAAUGAGACCACGGUAACUAAGGUUACAGGGGUCAAUGGGGCGGGACCUUUCGAGGCCGCCCGCCGAUGGCGCGGACUACGUCUGAUUAGUUUGUUGGUGGGGUAACGGCCUACCAAGACGAUGAUCAGUAGCCGGCCUGAGAGGGUGUUCGGCCACACUGGAACUGAGAACUGUCCAGACUCCUACGGGAGGCUGCAGUCGCGAAUCAUUCACAAUGGACGAAAGUCUGAUGAUGCCACGCCGCGUGCGGGAAGAAGGCCUUAGGGUUGUAAACCGCUGUCAAAUUGGGGGAAACUGUACAGGCGAAACAUCUGUGCACUGACUGCCAUUAAAAGGAAGCCCCGGCUAAACACGUGCCAGCAGCCGCGGUAAUACGUGUGGGGCAAGCGUUGUUCGGAAUUACUGGGCUUAAAGGGUGCGUAGGUGGUUUUGUAAGUCAGGGGUGAAAGUCGGUGGCCCAACCAUCGAAUUGCCUUUGAUACUGCUUAACUUGAGUGUGUUAGGGGAGAGCGGAACGUGUAGUGUAGCGGUGAAAUGCGUAGAUAUUACACGGAANGNCGGANCCGAAGGGGGCUCUCUGGGACACAACUGACGCUGANNCACGAAAGCGUGGGGAGCAAACAGGAUUAGAUACCCUGGUAGUCCACGCCGUAAACGAUGAACACUNNNNNUUGUCUGNUNNGNAUGACCGUUGUANANAAAUUGCUAAGUGUUCCGNCUGGGGAGUACGUUCGCAAGNNUGAAACUCAAANAAAUUGANGGGGCUCNCNCNAGCGG
rnacentral:rRNA from 1 species